rnacentral:rRNA from 1 species
AAUGAACGCUGGCGGCAGGCCUAACACAUGCAAGUCGAACGGAUCCUUCGGGGAUUAGCGGCGGACGGGUGAGUAACACGUGGGUAACCUGCCUCAUAGAGGGGAAUAGCCUUCCGAAAGGAAGAUUAAUACCGCAUAAGAUUGUAGUACUGCAUGGUACAGCAAUUAAAGGAGUAAUCCGCUAUGAGAUGGACCCGCGUCGCAUUAGCUAGUUGGUGAGGUAACGGCUCACCAAGGCGACGAUGCGUAGCCGACCUGAGAGGGUGAUCGGCCACAUUGGGACUGGGACACGGCCCAGACUCCUACGGGAGGCAGCAGUGGGGAAUAUUGCACAAUGGGGGAAACCCUGAUGCAGCAACGCCGCGUGAGUGAUGACGGUCUUCGGAUUGUAAAGCUCUGUCUUCAGGGACGAUAAUGACGGUACCUGAGGAGGAAGCCACGGCUAACUACGUG